GAAAGAAAGGAUUAAAGUAUAUGAUUUGGCAUUCUAAAUCAAGCCCAAAAUUCAGGUUAAGCCAACUGUAAUGUCACAUAAGAAAGUGAGGGGAGAGAGGAUUUUGAUCCAAAACCAUGAGAUUUUGCCAUGUUAGGUGGUGAGGCAAGUCAAUCUGUUUUGCAUAUGGUUCAAGAUUAGGUGGUCCAAGCUUGGACCACUGGCUUGGAGUUGGCUAAGUUGGGGGUAGGGGGUUAGGAUGUAUGGCUUGGGCUUGUUAGGGCUAUAGGUGAUUGGACUGGAUCUCAUGAUUCAUGACCAUUUGAGGGUUAAUAUGUAAACUACGAAUCAUCUAUCUUAGCCUUGGUUGGCUUUCAUAGGCGUUAGAAAGGUGGUGGUCUUCACCCAUUACAUGUGCUCCUACAUAUAUGAUUGAAAUGAAAUGAUUGCAAACUUAUUUACAGUAGCAUUUUCCCUUGAAACCCAAACUGCAAAAUCUAACAAAAACAAGGAUGAUAUCAUACAGUUGAUCAUAAACACAAACAGGUUGCUGGAGCAGCUAUAAUCUAUGAAAUAGAGGUAACAGGUCAAGUCACAACUCCUUAACUCUGGGGAAUAAUCUUGUCGCUAGUCAUUUAAUCUCAUUUCUUUGUUUUUUUCCCUGUUUCUCUUUUCCUCAAACUUUUCUUCCAUGGCUGUAUUUCUAGACCAACGUCAUCUUCUUGUUACAUUGGAAAGGAAUUGUCUCCAUAACCUUUUGAUCAGUGAUUAUAUUUCUGCCAGGCACUGACUCAAAAAAGCUCAUAUUUGGAGAAAGAGGUGGAGCCCUUGAGGCAAAAGCUGCAACAGAUAAAGAGGCACUUUCCAAGAGAAAGAAGCUUUCUAGAUUACUUCAAAUUCAGCAACACACUGAGUCAUAGGAACAAUUGAAGUAGCAUUCAACUGGUGGUCACUGGCUCACUGAUAGAAGCUUCCAGUUAGUUUCAUAGCUAAACCUGUCCGAGACUCAAAUAAACCAGAACUCAGUUGCCAGAUGCCAGGGUAAAAUGGCUGAUAACCGCCACCAGUAGCAGUGCCCACAGCAAUGCUACUAGCGAACACAGCACCACUUGGGGAAAUUCCAGGAUUGCUGGCUACCGGAUUGGUUAUAUUGGUAGUCAUGGUCCCAGUAUUUU